AACUUUCGGCAAUGGAUCACUUGGUUCUCGCAUCGAUGAAGAACGCAGCGAAUUGCGAUACGUAAUGUGAAUUGCAGAAUUCAGUGAAUCAUCGAAUCUUUGAACGCACAUUGCACCCUCUGGUAUUCCGGAGGGUAUGCCUGUUUGAGUGUCAUUAAUCUCUCAAGACAGACAGGUUUUACUACUUGUUCUGUUGUUUGGAUAUUGAAGGCUUGCUGGCAGUCUGACUGUUAGCUCCUUUUAAAUGCAUUAGCAGAAAGCAUGCGGAACUGGCCUCAGUUUGAUAAUAGACUUUAUCUGUGUUGCUGUCGCCAGGAUAAUGCUAGUUUUUUCAGCUUCUAAUUGUCCCUUCCUGGGACUGUCUCAUUGAGGCAUACAAACUUGACACUUGACCUCAAAUCAGGUAGGACUACCCGCUGAACUUAAGCAUAUCAAUAAGCGGAGGCU
rnacentral:misc_RNA from 1 species